rnacentral:rRNA from 1 species
UACGAGGGGGGCAAAUGUUGUUCGGAAUCACUGGGCGUAAAGGGAGCGUAGGUGGGAGUUUAAGUUGGGUGUUUAAUCCCGGGGCCCAACCCCGGAUCGGCACCCAAAACUGGGCUUCUUGAAUGGGACAGAGGCUGAUGGAAUUGGGGGUGUAGCGGUGGAAUGCGUAGAGAUCCCCAAGAACACCAGUUGCGAAGGCGGUCAGCUGGGUCCACAUUGACACUGAGGCUCGAAAGCGUGGGGAGCAAACAGG